AUAACAUCACAAUUAUCACCAUCAUUAUCGAAGAUUAUUUUGCUAUUUAUUUUAUGUUCUUUUUCAUCAAGAAGUAUGUGCUUCAGCAAAUUAUUAUUAUUAUGAUAAUUAUAUUAUUACACUAUUAAUACCGAUGCAGUCCAUCGAGAGAGGGCUAUAUAUGCAAUUUUGUGCGGAUUACCUAUAGAUGUGUAUAUUUUUAGUUCGGUCCUUCUCUUCCACUCAAUGCAAAAGACGGCCUUCCCCAAAGAUAUCGCCGCCGAUUUCUCCGGCUCUGGUGACCUCUUGAAUUCUCGAUCAGUUCUCUCGUUGGCCCAUUUCCUUGGCAUCUUUUUUUGCGGACCUUCUGGUAGAGUGACGCAAAUCCUUUGUUCGCACAUUUUUUGCGGAUCGAAUUAAGACAUUUGGAAAAGCGAGAUCUUUUUCGCCCGCAAUUAUACUCAUUUAACAUCAGCUAUAUACUCGAGAAGAUAGCAAUUGGUGGUUAUUCUCUGAUAGAAAGUUAUUUUCUUUUGGGUGCACACGGCUGAUACAUCAGCUUUGGCUGAUUAAAAAUGUGAGUUUUUGUUUCACUGAUAAUUUCCAUUCAUAAUCGGGAUAUUGCUACUAGUGAAAGGUACCAUUGUGAUUGUUUGUGACUCUCGUCACUCUCCAUGUUUAUGCCAUUACAUGUGAUCAACAGAGAUGUCUUCCAUCAAUUGACGUUGUUGAAGCAACAGAUUUCUAUGUAGAACAUAUAGCAACCUUAUUCUGGAUAGUGAUAAAGGCAUUCCAACUCCCGGCCAUUUACCUGAUUCUUGAUAUUCAUCAAAUCUCCUAGUACUCUGCAAAAUAACUUACAAUUUAUUUUUCCACUUGGUAUCUAAAUGAUGAUUUAUUUUGCCUUUGAACUGAGUAAUUAUUUUGCACAAAGAAGAUAUUUUGCUGAGCCUGAGAUUUCACAUUACUGUUUGUUUAAAUUUUAGGUCAGACAGUGAGCCGAUUGAUACAAAGCAGUACCUCGAGGAAACUUGCAAGCCAAAGUGUGUGUGUCCUUUACACGCAUACCAUGUGUUUAAAACUUCUGUGACAUUUCUGCAAAGCUUCUUGAUUUUUCUUAUUUUUAUGUACACCUAGUGAGAUUUAUAAGUAGAUAUAUUGGAAAGUGGAAGACAUUCUUCUGUUUGAUUAUGGUGUAGUUAAACUUUGACAAUUACUGAAAAAAGGAACAGAUUCCAUGUAUUUGUGAUCUUUUAUUAAAGUUCUUCUAGGAAAGUCCUCCUCUCUCUCUCUCUCUGUCUCUCUCUUCUUUUCUUUUGGGGGAUGGGGUUGGGGUUGCUCCCCUUCACCUCACAGAAAUAGCAUUUUACCAAGGUAACAACUAGGUUCUUAUCAUUCUGUGCUUUGUAUGUUUCAUUUCUGUACCCAGUCAGUGUUACUAUAUAUAUUUUUGUUUGAGACUGUUAGAUAUUAUUGUUGUUAGUUCAAGUGGCCUCAACUUUUGAAUGAACAGUAUUACUACUUAUAAAUAACAUGCACACAGCAAUAUAUGGUUUCUAAGCCAAGUAUUCUUCUAUUUGGUUUAUCAAAGACAUCUUUGAGACAACAAUUGUAUGAAGUCCCUAGAGUUGCAAGCUUAAUGAGACCCUAGAGAAAUAUAUUUUGAUAAUUAAUUGUUGGUUCAGAUUGAAGGUUGUCAAGAGACUGCUUUCGGAUUUAAUUGUUGUUAUUGUUUUUACAGAAUGAUUACUUGCCACAUACAUGUUUUUGUGCCAUUUUCCAUCUGCUGUGUUUCAUGAAUAAAAUUGCAUUAGGCAAAUUGGAGCCGUGAUCAAGUACCGACAGUUAAGAUGAGGAACAUUACAAGGUUACAGGUCCAUAGUGCUGAAGUUUGUUAGAGCACCAUUACUCGGCAUGUGUUGAGAGAAUCAAAGAAGAUGAGACUGGGCAUAAGCAUUGUACCGGGCAAUAUUUUGAUUACUGGAUGUGUAUCGACAACUGUGUUGUGCCAAAAGUUUUUGACAAGCCGAAGUGAUAGGAGAAGAAAUUAUUGCACCAUGAGUUCAAGUGAGUUACAUUUUGAACUUUAAUAGGAGGCUUAAUGUUCAUUUUGCCACUACCAUGCACCUCCAAGCACCAAACUUGUACUUGGUCCUAAAACCAGUUGGCCUCUCUUCUCAAGAACAAUUCCUAGUGGGUAUGUUUUGGAAACCUCUGCAAGAAGGUAAUAAAGAGCAAUUCUCUGCAAGCAACUGAUCAGACAAUGAGUUUACUGAAUCUUUUUUGACAAAUGGAGUAAAAGGAGAUCUAUUUGUGGUUA